AUCGUUAUGUUUUGACAGAAUGAAAUGAAAAAAAGCCGUCAAACUCAUAAUUAUAAGUUGGAUAUUUAUUUUUUUGUGUACGGAACUAAUAUAAAAUAACAUUAUCUGGUGAGACUAUUACCUCACAGUGAGGUUUAUAGAACGAAACAUGUACCACUGCUAUCCGAAAGGGGGCCAAAGGAGACAACUUUAUGUAUGACCUCAUUGACAAGGUGUUCACCAUUACCAAACUGGCGAACUCCAUGGGGAACUGGUAUUGGGACACUUCGCCCUGGAGAGGCAAAAAAGCAUAUGCUUGGCUACUGGCAAUAGAGUAUGUGAUAUGACGGAAAAUGCUGCCAUGACGUUCCCUGGAGUAGAUUUAAAUCUGGCCAAUACUAAGAGCAACACGUAUGCGCGAUAACAGUUGACAAAUACUGGAUUGAUGAACAAUAAGGAAGUAUUCAUUCUACUGUGAAGUGUACGUACUAGUGACUGGAAUUAUAUUUUAUAGCCAAAAUGAUAAUUUAACUUUUAUCAUUAUGCGUAUUUAUAUUUGAAAUGCAGAAUAA